rnacentral:rRNA from 1 species
AUUGAACGCUGGCGGCAUGCCUUACACAUGCAAGUCGAACGGUAACGGGCCUUCGGGUGCCGACGAGUGGCGAACGGGUGAGUAAUGUAUCGGAACGUACCUUUCAGUGGGGGAUAACGUAGCGAAAGUUACGCUAAUACCGCAUAUUCUGUGAGCAGGAAAGCAGGGGAUCGCAAGACCUUGCGCUGAUUGAGCGGCCGAUAUCAGAUUAGCUAGUUGGUGAGGUAAAGGCUCACCAAGGCGACGAUCUGUAGCGGGUAUGAGAGGAUGAUCCGCCACACUGGAACUGAGACACGGUCCAGACUCCUACGGGAGGCAGCAGUGGGGAAUUUUGGACAAGGGGGGCAACCCUGAUCCAGCCAUGCCGCGUGAGUGAAGAAGGCCUUCGGGUUGUAAAGCUCUUUCGGCCGGGAAGAAAUCGUAUCAGCUAAUACCUGGUGCGGAUGACGGUACCGGCAUAAGAAGCACCGGCUAACUACGUGCCAGCAGCCGCCGUAACAC